CUAUAUGUAUCUUACAAAUGUUUUUUGCUUGGUUUUGAGUUUUAAAGAUUGUUGUAGAAAUUAUUUCUAAUAUAAAUAAAUGAUUAUUUCUUCCUCAGAGGGUUGAUUUUUGUAGUGCGCUAUUUACAAAAACUGAGUAAGUGAAAAUGACAGUUGAUAAAUUUGUACCAUCUAGGAAAAAAAUGUUUUAUGUAGUGUAGCAUGAAUAACAGCAGAUAAAACCAUUGAAGAUUUUAGUUUUUACACAGGUGGUAAAACCUUUAAAACAGACUAUAACAUGCAUUAUAGGUGCAUUUCUGACCUUAAUGUGCAAAAACAAAGCUACUGGUUAAAAUAGACUUAUUUUUGCUACAAUUGAGUACAUUUGUAAAAUUCUUAUUUUUAUCAUGAAUUUCAAUUAAUAGCUUUGAAGGUAUUCUGCUUAAAAUGAAAAUAAUUUAAAACAAUAAUAUUGAACACUGUAACCCAAAACUGAUAGAAAACUGCAGUGCUGCUGUGAACAAAGUCAGACAUUCUGGUAACGUGUAAAACAUGAAGAAAAAUGAUCCCCCAAGUUGUAGAACGGAGAUACACAGAACAGUCUUCUCAUAUUUAAAAAAUCCAAGGUUUUCAAAGAAACGGGAAAAUACUAAUUUGUUGUUGGCAUCACCGAUGUCUAGGUAAGCUGCAGUUAAAUCACCUGGAUAAAUACAAAAUUGAUAAUUCCAUCUUUAAAAUAAAAUAACCAAGAACUAUUCCAUAAAUAGGAUGCUAUCUACUGGGGAAAACGUCUAUGCAUGUAGGGUACAUUGUCUUCCGUCCUGGCAGCAGAUGGACUGCAGGUGAAAACACUCAUCAUUUAGAAAGUAGGUUAGUUAUUUCAUUAGUGGUACUUGAGAAAGUCCCAUUUAUGCCAAACCAGCAGCACCCCUAAAUAAACAAAACUUUAAAUUUACAGCAUGACGUGUAACGUACAAAAGUUUUUGAGCAACUGGUUUCCCGCAGACACAGAUGUCAGCAUCUGCUGUCAGUUCCAGCUCACGUGGGAGAGAGUCACAAGUGUUCUUACCAAUAGCUACUCCUGAACGGAGCUGCUACUUUCUGUAUAUUUUCAAUAAAAUCAUUUACAUCUGUAACAAGGAUGCCACUGUUUUCAAAGACUUCUCUGGAGACAACAGGCUUUUCUGUAAAAGGAAAAAUAACUUUUGGUGAAAAAAUUCAUUAAUAUUUUUUAAAAGUAGCAAAAUCCCUUUUAUUGAAAAAAACAGACUCAUACACGUGAAGGGAAAAGCAAGCCUGUUUCUAGUGAGGAAUGAGGUUGGCGCUCUGGGACCAGCCCCCUCCAUGGGUGGUGGUGGGAGGGAGGGAGUUGAAACCAGGAGCUGAAACCACUGAUGGGCAUUCAUUCAUUCCUGGAGUACUUUUUUAAAAGCUUAGAUGGUUACACUUAACAGAUCUAGUACACGUUUUUUUUUUUUUCUAUUAACAGGACAAAACCCACAAUACCUGCUGCCCCAGCCUCGUGUGCGUUUAUUCCUGGCCGCCAAUGACUCCACUUGGAAGGACGUUUCUAGAGUGGACCUACUGGGCGUUAACUGGUUGAUGAAAAUUAGAACUAAGGCUAUGAAUUUACCUGUAAGGAAGACGGCAAACCUGGCGUGGACAUGCUGAAUUUGCAGGUUUAGCAGACAUUUCAGUUUUGGACAAUUUCUCCCCGCCUCCAAGGGCAAAAGGAUAUGAUAAGUUUUCUGAAAAGUUCUCACUAUUCGAGACUGGCCUGAUUUGAAGAGAUUCCGGUGACAUAAGUGUCUCUGUUUACGCAAAGUCCUACGCAUGCUGAAUUAAUUUACAAUGACCGAUCUUAACAGGCGUGCUGUGCCACCUCAGCUUUCAUCUGCUUCUGUACUUACUCCUGCAGUUGAACCUUCCCUCUGAAGUGCUGUUAACUAAGCCCUGUGAGGGCCCCUUGGAGCCCUUCCUCCCUGACAGUCUCAGCUCUCGGUUCCGCGCCCUCUUUUCCUCCUGUACGAGUUCCUCUCCUAAGUGCAAGCCUUUCCCCAACUGCUAUUCUCAGCCAUCUUUCGAGAUCCCGUGCACAUCCACGAUUUCAGUUGUCUUCCUCUGGAGAAAGCAGUGUGGUCAAACAGAAGGUAACUGUCAGGUCGGAGAUGAACAUUCCGGGUCAAAGCCCAGCUUCCUGACUUCCUCCUUGUCUGCCUGGGUCAGGUCUAGCAUCCUCUGUGCCUCAACUUCCACAUCAUUAAAGUGGGUUUGUACUGUC